AUUUUAGUAUAAGUAUGUCCCCUGCAAUAUUUGGGAACAUAUUUAUACUAAAA
rnacentral:pre_miRNA from 1 species